GGAGCAACAACAAAAAGAAAAAAGAACAACAACAAUAUUGAGAAUCUGUUUCAUCGUUCAGUACUCGGUCUGUACUACCACACAGAAACCGUCAACCGCAUCUGACAUGUUGUUUUGUCUUACAUCCAGUAGAUGGCAGUAUGUAAUUAUGAUUUCAUCAAGCCGUGUUGUAGUGCAAAUGUGCACUGGGACACACACACACAAGACAAGAACCAAGAGAUCAAUAAUGGAGUAAUGGCGGCAGGGGAAGAUCGCAACAACACAUUAUCUCCGGCGAAAGGAGGAAAAGGCUUAAAGCAUUACAAUGUUAAGUGGCUUUUCCUGAGGACUGAGGAGAACAAAGGCGACUAGUGGCGAGCUGCAUAUGCAUCACUCUGGAGACGCAUGGAGGGAAAGAAGUAGAGGGUUGGUUGUAAUUUUACAGCAUGAGGUGGAAGAAUAAAUCUGCCUCUAUCACAACGGGGGAUCCUGUCAGGUCCUGAGGGCUGGUGCGUUAGAAAAUAGAAGAAAAUAGAAGUGAGUGAGGAGAACUGCUGGAGGCUGAGCUGAGGUGUGGACUGUGAUAUAUGACAAGUGUGUUAGAGGCAGAGGUUUGGGUCAUAAUGUGGAGUUAUGGCGUGCGACGCAUGCAGCCAAGUUGUAGAAUUGUUCAGACGCUGUCGAAGUGAGAGAGGGUUUCAGGACUUCACAGCUUUAGGCCCCAGUUUUUUUUUUUUUUAACCACCCAGACAGGGCCUCACCCCUCCCCUACCUCCGUGGCGAGGCCUAUGGCCUAGCCGGAUCGGCACAGCCUGGGCCUCAGCUCUCAGCUCUCCCCUCCCUCCCAGCUGCCGACACCAGAGUCACAGGCUGAGCAGAGCGGAGGUCCGCUGGAGACACUGGAGAGGGUGACAGUGAGGGGGGGAGGGGAAUACAUGGCCAGGAGCCAGCCCAUUGUGUACACUCUCUCUCCCUCUUUUCUCACUCAGUCAAUCACUCAGUCACUACUUCACACACCCUUCCCCCAUCCUUACUUACUUGUUCAUCUUUUAUACUCCAACUCACUGACUCAGUUCUCUCUACACUUUUUUUUUCGGCAUGCGUUUCUCGGUCUCCUCUCCUUCCUCUCAACAGCUGUCCAACCCCCCCCCCCUUCCAAACAGACACUGCAUGCUCAGUUCAACAAGGUCAACUAUGACAAUAACCAUAUUGUUUAGACUUACAUUAUGAGAUGAGAGUUUCAGCAGACUAAGCAAUCACAAACCCACAAACAUUUGACUGUCGUGCUCCUUUUGUCCAGCAGCUGAAAAAAAUAAAACGCUCAGACCUUGUUAACAGAUCAUGCCGCCACUUCCUGAACAAAAACACUUCCCUAGACACGUUUCAUCCAAAUCUAGAAAGAUGUCUAACGGCCUGGUAUUUUCAGCAUGCUGCUAUUCUGAGAAGGAUUACUCGCCUAAAGCUGAGCCGAAAGCCUGAACAGACCGCAGUUUCCCCCCCUCUUCAGCUCUUAUUUACAUCAUGUACAUACAAUAUGAUAAACCAUGUCAGACAUAAGCAGCAUUAGAGAGAGAGAGAUCAAGAGCUUCAUCAUCUUUCGCAAAACAGAAGUCUGGUGCUCUUGACUGAGCUGGCAUCUCUGACAGAAUGCCACGGAGUAGCUUGUGAUGGUCGGCUACUACUCCACUGAGAACGGCUUACACAAGCAUCACAACACACGGCAGCUUGUGUUAUGUAAGAUCCACUGUCUCUGCGUGCCUCGGCCUCUCCGAUCAUGGCUUCACACUGACCCCCACCCCCCCACCCCACUAUAGGAUUGCUGAAUCAGUCUUUUAUUAGGCGCAGUGGGAUGGGUCCGCUCAAAAUGCGAGCGAGGCGACGCUGCUAACUGCCAUUUUAAGCGGCGUAUGGCUCUUGGUGUAAAUGGAAUAGCUGAGCUAUAAAUAGGCGACGGGUGGGCCUGGAGAAGAUGUGCUCAAAUAUUGACAUUUAAAAAAAAA